UCCAGUCUGCUCACUGAUAAUUUAAAGAGCCGCAGUAUAUUGACUGUGCAAAGGUAGCAUAAUCAAUAGUUUUUUAAUUGAAAACUUGUAUGAAAGAUUAGACGAGAUAUUUAUUUUCUUUAUUUUAAAUAAUUUAAUUUUAAUUUUAAGUGAAAAUGCUUAAUUAAAUUUAAAAGACGAGAAGACCCUAUAGAUUUUUAUUAUUUAAAUAAAUUUUAUAAAAAAUUUAAUAAAAUAAUUUCAUUGGGGUGAUUUUGUAAUAAAGAAAACUUAAUUUUUUAAAACCAAAAAUAAUUGAAAUUUUUGAUCUAAAAUUUUUAAAGAAAAGAUUAAAUUACCUUAGGGAUAACAGCGUAAUUUUUUUUAAGAGUUCAUAUCUAUAAAAAAGUUUGCGACCUCGAUGUUGAAUUAAGAUAAUAUACUGAAGUAG
rnacentral:rRNA from 2 species